rnacentral:rRNA from 1 species
CACGUAGGGCGCAAGCGUUGUCCGGAAUUAUUGGGCGUAAAGAGCUCGUAGGCGGUCUGUUACGUCUGCUGUGAAAACCCAGGGCUUAACCCUGGGCUUGCAGUGGAUACGGGCAGACUAGAGGCAGGUAGGGGAGAAUGGAAUUCCAGGUGUAGCGGUGAAAUGCGUAGAUAUCUGGAGGAACACCGGUGGCGAAGGCGACAUCCUGGACCGGUAUUGACGCUGAGGCGCGAAAGCCAGGGGAGCAAACGGG